rnacentral:rRNA from 1 species
GAUGGGCAUGCGUCUGAUUAGCUAGUUGGUGAGGUAACGGCUCACCAAGGCGACGAUCAGUAGGGGAACUGAGAGGUUGAUCCCCCACACUGGCACUGAGAUACGGGCCAGACUCCUACGGGAGGCAGCAGUAGGGAAUAUUGGGCAAUGGUCGGAAGACUGACCCAGCCACGCCGCGUGCAGGAGGAAGGCCCUCUGGGUUGUAAACUGCUUUAGCAGGGGAAGAAAAUACUCAUGCGUGAGGAAUUGCCGGUACCCUGAGAAUAAGCACCGGCUAACUACGUGCCAGCAGCCGCGGUAAUACGUAGGGUGCAAGCGUUGUCCGGAUUUAUUGGGUUUAAAGGGUGCGUAGGCGGCCUGUUAAGUCAGUGUUUAAAUUUUGCAGCUUAACUGUAGGUAUGGCAUUGAUACUGAUGGGCUUGAAUAUUUUAGAGGUAGCUGGAAUUUAUGGUGUAGCGGUGAAAUGCAUAGAUACCAUAAGGAACACCGAUAGCGGAGGCAUGUUACCAUGAGAUGAUUGACGCUGAGGCACGAAAGUGUGGGGAUCAAACAGGAUUAGGUACCCUGGUAGUCCACACUGUAAACGAUGAUUACUAGAUGCCGGGCUGUUGAGUUCGGUGUUCAAGCGAAAGCGAUAAGUAAUCCACCUGGGGAGUACGACCGCAAGGUUGAACUCAAAGGAAUUGAC